rnacentral:rRNA from 1 species
AUUGAACGCUGGCGGCAGGCUUAACACAUGCAAGUCGAGCGGGGUGAUGGUGCUUGCACUAUCACUUAGCGGCGGACGGGUGGGUAAUGCUUAGGAAUCUGCCUAUUAGUGGGGGACAACAUCUCGAAAGGGAUGCUAAUACCGCAUACGUCCUACGGGAGAAAGCAGGGGAUCACUUGUGACCUUGCGCUAAUAGAUGAGCCUAAGUCGGAUUAGCUAGUUGGUGGGGUAAAGGCCUACCAAGGCGACGAUCUGUAGCGGGUCUGAGAGGAUGAUCCGCCACACUGGGACUGAGACACGGCCCAGACUCCUACGGGAGGCAGCAGUGGGGAAUAUUGGACAAUGGGGGGAACCCUGAUCCAGCCAUGCCGCGUGUGUGAAGAAGGCCUUAUGGUUGUAAAGCACUUUAAGCGAGGAGGAGGCUCUUUUGGUUAAUACCCAAGAUGAGUGGACGUUACUCGCAGAAUAAGCACCGGCUAACUCUGUGCCAGCCGCCGCCGUAAUAC